GGUAGGCAUGGAAGGGCAGGGACAGAUGGGCUCAGCCACACAAGGGAUGGCGAAGACAGUGCUCCUUGGGAAUCUUCUGGGGGCUCAGGAUUGCUUCAGCCUUUUAAUGGGGUCAGCCUGGAACAAGAACAGUAGUACUGGGAAUGAUGGAAAGUUGUAUUGGGGUAAAGCUCAAAGCUGCUUAUUAGAAGGAAUCCAUUAUGACAGCUAUGUAGGUUUUUUUUUUUCACUUUCCUUUUCUUCCUUCCCCCCCCUCCCCGCCGCCCUUCUUUUUUUUUUCUAGACCCUGAAAAUUGUUCGGACAGCAGAACUUUCGCCUUUCAUUGUGUUCAUUGCACCUACUGACCAGGGCACUCAGACAGAAGCCCUGCAGCAGCUGCAGAAGGACUCUGAGGCCAUCCGCAGCCAGUACGCUCACUACUUUGACCUCUCACUGGUCAAUAAUGGUGUUGAUGAAACCCUUAAGAAAUUACAAGAAGCCUUCGACCAAGCGUGCAGUUCUCCACAGUGGGUGCCUGUCUCCUGGGUUUACUAAGCUUGUAGAAUGGGGGAACCCACUGUAUGCCCCUCUCCAGCAUUUGGAAUUCCACCCGCCUUGCUUUAAGACAAACAGGGCUGCUCCAACUAGUUUUGUGUCAGCUUCCAGCUCUCUGCAGCUAUCCUAAUUCAGCCAGUAAGGUUCAGUCUUCUUGCUCAGGCUCCUGAAGGGUUGAUUCUCCUGAUAGAUGGGGCCCCACUGAUCUGGAUUUGAAAAGGAUUUCUAGAAAUUGGGGGUAAGAAGUACUACCAAAAUGUAACUGCUAAUCAAGGGUGAUGCACAGCAAAAGCAAUGGACCCCAUCCCUCUAAAGCCUGCCCUCCUUUGCCUUCAACUGUAUAUGCUGGGUAUUUCAUUUGUCUUUUUAUUUUGGAGAAAGCGUUUUUAACUGCAACUUUCUAUAAUGCCAAAAUGACACAUCUGUGCAAUAGAAUGAUGUCUGCUCUAGGGAA
rnacentral:lncRNA from 1 species